rfam:Triticum aestivum genome assembly, contig: Triticum_aestivum_CS42_TGACv1_scaffold_375606_5AL
UAGAUACUCCCUCUGCCCGAAAUUACUUGUCUGAAAAAUUGAUGUAUCUAAACGUACUUUAGUUCUAAGAUACAUCCAUUUUUACUAAUUUUGACGACAAGUAAUUCCGAGCAAAGGGAGUAAAAA